CAGUAGCCGCGGUAAUACAGAGGGUGCAAGCGUUAAUCGGAUUUACUGGGCGUAAAGCGUGCGUAGGCGGCUUGUUAAGUUGGAUGUGAAAUCCCUGAGCUUAACUUAGGAAUUGCAUUCGAAACUGGGAAGCUAGAGUAUGGGAGAGGAUGGUAGAAUUCCAGGUGUAGCGGUGAAAUGCGUAGAGAUCUGGAGGAAUACCGAUGGCGAAGGCAGCCAUCUGGACUAAUACUGACGCUGAGGUACGAAAGCAUGGGGAGCAAACAGGAUUAGAUACCCCAGUAGUCCCUGUCUCUUAUAC
rnacentral:rRNA from 1 species